GUGAGGAAUAUUGGUCAAUGGGCGUAAGCCUGAACCAGCCAAGUAGCGUGAAGGACGACGGCCCUACGGGUUGUAAACUUCUUUUAUAAGGGAAUAAAGUGCGUUACGUGUAAUGUUUUGUAUGUACCUUAUGAAUAAGCAUCGGCUAAUUCCGUGCCAGCAGCCGCGGUAAUACGGAAGAUGCGAGCGUUAUCCGGCUUUAUUGGGUUUAAAGGGAGCGUAGGCGGGCUUUUAAGUCAGCGGUGAAAUGUCGUGGCUCAACCAUGUCAAGCCGGUGAAGCUGUAAGCCUUGAGUCUGCACAGGGCACAUGGAAUUCGUGGUGUAGCGGUGAGAUGCUUAGAUAUCACGAAGAACUCCGAUCGCGAAGGCAUUGUGCCGGGGCAGCACUGACGCUGAGGCUCGAAAGUGCGGGUAUCAAACAGGAUUAGAAACCCCGGUAGUCC
rnacentral:rRNA from 1 species